CACGGGGGGAGCAAGCGUUGUUCGGAAUCACUGGGCGUAAAGGGCGUGUAGGCGGUCAGGUAAGUGGAAUGUGAAAUCCCUCGGCUCACCCGAGGACCUGCAUCCCAAACUGCCUGGCUUGAGUAUGGGAGAGGAUGAGGGAAUUCCUGGUGUAGCGGUGAAAUGCGUAGAUAUCAGGAGGAACACCGGUGGCGAAGGCGCUCAUCUGGCCUAAUACUGACGCUGAAGCGCGAAAGCUAGGGGAGCAAACGGG
rnacentral:rRNA from 1 species